rnacentral:rRNA from 1 species
CAGCCGCCGCGGGAAUACGGGGGGUGCAAGCGUUAAUCGGAAUUACUGGGCGUAAAGCGCACGUAGGCGGUUUGUUAAGUCAGAUGUGAAAUCCCCGAGCUUAACUUGGGAACUGCAUUUGAAACUGGCAAGCUAGAGUCUUGUAGAGGGGGGUAGAAUUCCAGGUGUAGCGGUGAAAUGCGUAGAGAUCUGGAGGAAUACCGGUGGCGAAGGCGGCCCCCUGGACAAAGACUGACGCUCAGGUGCGAAAGCGUGGGGAGCAAACAGGAUUAGAUACCCGCGUAGUCCCUGUCUCUUAUAC